AUAUUCAUCCUCAUGCAAAAAAUAAAAAAUAAAAAAUCACUUUCCUCACCUCUGCUAGCUAGCAACCACUAGCUUAGCUGCGUAAAAAUCUGCCGUUGCGUUUAAUACAUAACCGCGUGAUAUUUAUUUGCGCUCAACUCUACAGCUUCCGGCUGAACAAUGCGAGGGAACGAGCAAAAUAAAGGCUGCAAAUCAUGUUUCAAGUGCGGACUGCACUCUUCAGAGAGAGAGCAAAAGAGAUCAACUUGAACCUACAUCACCCCCGACUACAAUAUCACCGACAUUUCGAGUUAAAAACACGCAAAGUCGCGGGUAAAUGUGUCCAACGCGCCCGCCGCGAAGGGUGAUCGUUCCCCGGAUGUUGCUCCAUACACGCCGGGGAAUGCAGAUGUCGGUAGCCGAAGAGGUGGCACUCGGAGCCGGGCAGGGGCAGGACCCUCGACCCUGGGAGACCCUCCGGCGAGCUGGCGGCGAGACGCGGGAGAAGCGGCGCAGGCAGGCGGCGAGCCUCGCUCUGACUGGCGGAGAGGGGGAGCGAGUCUAGACCGCGGCAGAGGAAGAAAGGACUGCCACUGGGGUCAGAGAGCAGCGACGAGUGCAUAGCCUCCGUACUAGCAUGGCGGAGCGAGACUCUGCGCCUGUGGGUCCAAGGGUGUGCGCUACACGUAUCACCUUUCGGAAGUCAUGGAGAACUGGAGCACUGAUCAGGGUGAGGAGUCACAGUGCCACAAUGCUGCUUCUACAAAAUGUGGAAUGUUUUGACAGGGCUUACAAAGGUCUGUUGUUCUGUAACAGCACAUCUCAUAGAGACAGCUCAAUCAUGACUGAUGUUACUCUUUCGCUAAGCUGCAACUGCCAUUCGACCAGGACACCUCAUCCCCCACACACAAUACGACAGAACGAUAGAUAGAUAGAUAGAUAGAUAGAUAGAUAGAUAGAUAGAUAGAUGUAAAAUUCUUUGAAUCUAUCUAUCUAUGAAAAAAACAAGAAAGUUAGAGUGUUGACCCUCUCCUCAC
rnacentral:lncRNA from 1 species